AGGUUCGCUUAACCGCGAUUAAUUGGGAAUGGAGUGAAAGUCUCCGACUGUCCCGCAGCUGUGAACUCCCGUAUGGCUCUGAAGCAGAACGCCAUUGCCCUUGAGGGCGAGAAGGUACUUUGGAGUGGAGCGUAGUCAGAAGACCAGCCUUUGAUGGA
rnacentral:ncRNA from 1 species